GGGGGUGUAGCUCAGCGGUUAGAGCAGGGGACUCAUAAUCCCUUGGCCGAGAGUUCGAUUCUCUCCACCCCUACCA
rnacentral:tRNA from 1 species